GUGCACGUUGGAAUUGGGUGAAAAUGAGGGGUUAGGGUUUUGUCCCUCUUCCUCACAACGACCACACCCAUACGCACUUUCAUCCAUUUUUCUCUUUCACUACUCACAUUCAGAGCCUCCAUGGUCUUUCAAAAACAUCAUCACAGCAACGACUUCACCACGUCACCCCGGACACCACUGUGUGCACUCCUCGCACUUGGCUUCUGCCGCUAGACUUUCAUCAGACUAGGCCUUCCUUCGAUCUUGUCGUGGAAACUACUCCAACGUCGGAGUUCACAUCCUCUCAUCUUUGUGUCGACAAAGAUCAUUUUCCCAUCACUGUUAUCACCUAUGAGUUUUGAUCGGUGAGGACGACGAGUAUCAAUACCACAGUUCAGUGACCACGUGCUUUUCUAUAUGACGUUGGCGAGGCAUAGGUGAAGAGAUGCUAGCUAACUAUGAGGAUUUUUGAAAAAACAUGCUUUAUUUAAAUUUAUUUUAUUAAAGUUGGAUUAUAAUAAUGCAAUGAC